GUCAAAUAAGAUCCCCAUAGGAAAGCAUUGAGUAAUGCUUUCCCAUGGGCGUGUUUGAAUGCGUGCGCGCCUCUGUCCGUGCAUGCGUGUUCGGCUCCAAUCAGGAGCUGAUAUCGGCGGGGCAGGAGAGGUCACCAGCGCUGAUAGAGCCCAGCGCUGGAUUAAGGUAAGUGGCUGAAGGACGACACACCUAUUAACCCUAUAGUGCCAGGAAAAAGGGGUUGUUUUCCUGGCACUAUAGUAUCCUUUUAAAUCCUUGCUGGAAGAAAAAUAAAAAGCAGGCUGUUUUCAGACCAUUACAGCAUUUAAAAAGAACUUGAAACAAAGUGGCUAGAUACACACCCUGAAUCAGAAUGGAUGAAAUCCUUGCUGGAAAAAACAGGCUGUUCACUUUUUAUACCGAUACAGCAUUUAAAUAAUCAGUCCACUUGAAACAAAGUGGCUAGAUACACACCCUGCUAGUGAAUGUCUGAUAUAUCAUAGAGCCCUUGCUAUAACAAUAAAGAAUGAACCUCUAUCUUGUAGCAAAUAUGUAAUGACAAAUCUAUGUACAAAUUGGAAACAAACAACACCUGUGUGAUUACUACCACUGCCUAUAUAUGGCUUGCUGUCACUGACCAUAAACUGUCUAUACAUUAGUACUGACUGCCUAAAGAUUGCUAAAUAAUAAUACUGAUCCUACAGGUUGUCCUAGUCCGU